rnacentral:rRNA from 1 species
UACGUAGGGACCAAGCGUUGUUCGGAUUUACUGGGCGUAAAGGGCGCGUAGGCGGCGCGGUAAGUCACUUGUGAAAUCUCUGAGCUUAACUCAGAACGGCCAAGUGAUACUGCAGUGCUAGAGUGUGGAAGGGGCAAUCGGAAUUCUUGGUGUAGCGGUGAAAUGCGUAGAUAUCAAGAGGAACACCUGCGGCGAAGGCGGGUUGCUGGGCCGACACUGACGCUGAGGCGCGAAAGCGUGGGGAGCGAACCGG